rnacentral:rRNA from 1 species
UAGCCGUGGCUUUCUGGUUAAAUACCGUCAAUACCUGAACAGUUACUCUCAGAUAUGUUCUUCUUUAACAACAGAGUUUUACGAGCCGAAACCCUUCUUCACUCACGCGGCGUUGCUCCAUCAGACUUUCGUCCAUUGUGGAAGAUUCCCUACUGCUGCCUCCCGUAGGAGUAGGGGGAAUCUUCCACAAUGGACGAAAGUCUGAUGGAGCAACGCCGCGUGAGUGAAGAAGGGUUUCGGCUCGUAAAACUCUGUUGUUAAAGAAGAACAUAUCUAAGAGUAACUGUUCAGGUAUNGACGGUAUUUAACCAGAAAGCCACGGCUAACUACGUGCCAGCAGCCGCGGUAAUACA